rnacentral:rRNA from 1 species
UACGUAGGUGGCAAGCGUUGUCCGGAUUUACUGGGCGUAAAGGGCGCGUAGGCGGUUCGCUAAGUUGGAUGUGAAAACUCUGGGCUCAACCCAGAGCCUGCAUCCAAAACUGGCGGGCUAGAGUUCUGGAGGGGGUAGCGGAAUUCCUGGUGUAGCGGUGAAAUGCGUAGAUAUCAGGAGGAACACCGGUGGCGAAGGCGGCUACCUGGACAGAAACUGACGCUGAGGCGCGAAAGCUAGGGGAGCAAACAGG